GUUUCAGAUGAACCCUUGAUGGGUUGAAGUAAGCUCGAAGGUGCGCGUUGGUGAUGCACCGAACUCGUUUCAGAUGAACCCUUGAUGGGUUGAAGUGACAAACGUGGUCGCGGUGGGGAGUGCGCCCGCCUCGUUUCAGAUGAACCCUUGAUGGGUUGAAGUCACCAACACAAUCGCCGGAGCUAUCCACGGGAGUGUUUCAGAUGAACCCUUGAUGGGUUGAAGUAAUAAUUAGAUACAGCCAAUGAAUCUUAAAACUAGAGUUUCAGAUGAACCCUUGAUGGGUUGAAGUAGGCAGUCACACCGCCGAUGACGGGAGUGCAGACGUUUCAGAUGAACCCUUGAUGGGUUGAAGUGACCUGAGAUAUGAUGAUGACCCAUAAGACAAACAUGUUUCAGAUGAACCCUUGAUGGGUUGAAGUAAUCUGCAGAACCCGUUUGUCGCAUCGAAUGCGCUGGUUUCAGAUGAACCCUUGAUGGGUUGAAGUCUCGCGUUCCUUGUCGUAACGCUCUCGACGGUAAUCGUUUCAGAUGAACCCUUGAUGGGUUGAAGUCUCCAGUAGUCUGUCGUCGUCGCUGACGCUGCGUAGGUUUCAGAUGAACCCUUGAUGGGUUGAAGUCCGCCCGGUGAAACGCGGUUUUUGAUUGAGAAACCAGUUUCAGAUGAACCCUUGAUGGGUUGAAGUCUUACAGACGGGGAGGGCGAUCGUCGUGUCGCCAGCGGUUUCAGAUGAACCCUUGAUGGGUUGAAGUUGCCCGAUAACGCCAGCGACGAUUGCGAGCAUAAACGCGUUUCAGAUGAACCCUUGUUGGGUUGAAGUACGCAGUGAGUCCGUCGAUGUCGAGAUUACGACCGGUUUCAGAUGAACCCUUGAUGGGUUGAAGUACACUCGGCACAAAAUGCGGUCAGAAACAGACCGCCGGUUUCAGAUGAACCCUUGAUGGGUUGAAGUGGCUUGUGCUGCGUUCUCGGCUGUUUUGCGUGGUGUGUUUCAGAUGAACCCUUGAUGGGUUGAAGUCGGCAAUUGGAGGAUACUAAUAGACAUGGCAUUAACCGUUUCAGAUGAACCCUUGAUGGGUUGAAGUUUUCCAUCGUCGCAGUUAACCCAGAUCUCAUUAUCCUGUUUCAGAUGAACCCUUGAUGGGUUGAAGUAUCCUGCAGUUGCGCUCGCUCUCGCUCGUAAUCGCUGGUUUCAGAUGAACCCUUGAUGGGUUGAAGUAAGUUCAGGACUUGUCUCUACAAGCACGUCGUGAAGAGUUUCAGAUGAACCCUUGAUGGGUUGAAGUAUUUUCGUUUAGGGAGGGAUCCUGGUGUCGUAGGAGUUUCAGAUGAACCCUUGAUGGGUUGAAGUCGGGAUAUCCUUGAUGAGAUGCAACUCAGUUAGGUGUUUCAGAUGAACCUUCGUUGGGUUGAAUC
rnacentral:misc_RNA from 1 species